UACGUAGGUGACCAGCGUUGUCCGGAUUUACUGGGCGUAAAGAGCUCGUAGGCGGUCUGUUGCGUCCGCUGUGAAAACUCGGGGCUUAACCCCGAGCCUGCAGUGGAUACGGGCAGACUAGAGGUAGGUAGGGGAGAAUGGAAUUCCCGGUGUAGCGGUGAAAUGCGCAGAUAUCGGGAGGAACAUCAGUGGCGAAAGCGACUUCCUGGACCAAUACUGACGCUCAUGUGCGAAAGCGUGGGGAGCAAACAGG
rnacentral:rRNA from 1 species